rnacentral:lncRNA from 1 species
UGCAGGCACAUACUCCUCAAAACAGUGGCGCGUGAAUGAUCAUGUUAAGAAAGGAUCUGCCACCAAAUACUUGCUGAGAUGAAAUUUUAGGCCGAUGAUGUUGCCAGCAUUUUUGUUCCUCGAGGAACUUUGAAAUGCUAAAAUCUGGUUGAGUCAUUUGCAUUGAAACAAAGAGCGAAGGAGUUGGUAAAGAUGAGUCUGUGACAGGGUCAUGCCAUUGUUUUUGUAUCAUUGGCAACUAUAUCAAAGUCGUGCGGGCCUUUUC